CUCUCUCUCUCUCUCUCUCUCUCGUUCUUCCCUUCUCUGUAACUUUUUUCAUAUUUUCCCUUUGACUUUUACACAUUACUUUCUCCCUCCCUCCCUCUCUUCCCCUCUCUCCCUCACUUUCCCUCCCUCUCCUCUCCUUCCCUUCUCUUCCAGCCCACUUUUCUAUCCCUCCCCACUCCGGAACAGGAACAAUCUCACCCUCACCCUCACUCCCUUUCCUCGCGGUGGCAUGAAGCGCCCACAUAAACUACAAUGAACAACAACUGCAGCAGCAACAACAGCAGGAGCGGCAGCAGCAACAGGCGGGGCGCAGCAGCUGUGGCGACAUCCAUCCAUCCUCGGAGACGCAUGUAACCUCGACCUGCACAGCUUCAGGAGCCCCGAGCGAAAUAUUAAAGCCCCCUGACGUCAGCCCGGCGAUAUAUAAAACGAGCAUUGCGUUAUGAUGCGGAGGGAGGGGGAAAGAGGAGGAGGAGGAGGACUAGAAAAAGGGUGAGGGAGUGAGAGGAUGAGGAUGAGAAAACGUUGACUUGAACAAUAUCAAAAGCCUACAGUGUCCAUGAAUGUGCCACUGAUAACGAAAGAGAGAGAAAGAGCAAGAGCGAGAGUCCGGUUCGAGAGCCCAGUCCGGUGAUAUAUAUAUAGCGAGGAUUGCGUGAUGAUGCGGAGGGAGGAGGAAACAGGAGGAGGAUGAGGAGGACUGGAAACGGGUGAAGAGGAUGAGGAUGAGAAAGCGUUGACUUGCUACAGAUUUUAAUUCCUACAGCGAAAUUUUUCAGCCCAACGAAAUGCAUUAUAACGAAGAAAGGGGGAAAAAGAGAGGAAAACAAUAGGGGAACUGAAUAAGGGUGGUGAGUGAGAGGAUGAAGAUGAGGAAAUGUUGACUUUGGAAAGAUUCAAAUGCCUGCAGCGAUAGAUUAUACACAUGACGUCAACCAAGCGAGAUGCAUUAUAUAACAUGGAGAGGAAAGAGAAAGGAGAACGAUAAGUGAACUGAAAUGAGGUGAGGAGUAUGAGGAUGAAGAUCACGACAGAUUCAAAAGACUACAGCGAAAUAUUAAGCCUUCAUAAAGUCAUCCCAACGAAAAAACAAUGAGCACAGCUUUAUAUUAUCGAAAGGAAAGAGAGAAGAACGAGAAGAGAACUGAAAUAAGGUGAGGAGUAUGAGGAUGAAGAUCAGGACAGAUUCAAAAGAGUACAGCGAAAUAUUAAGCCUUCAUAAAGUCAUCCCAACGAAAAAACAAUAAUCACAGCAUUAUAAUAUCGAAAGGAAAGAGAGAAGAACGAAAAGUGAACUGGAAAAGGGUGAAACAUAUGAGGAUGAAGAUGAAGUAUUAACCGUCGACUUGCAUAGAUUCAAAAGCCUACUCAUCCCAACGAUAAAAUUAAUAACCACAGCAUUAUAACAUCGAAAGAAAAGAGAGAAGAACGAAAGGUGAACUGGAAAAGGGUGAAACAUAAGAGGAUGAAGAUGAAGUAUUAACCGUCGACUUGCAUAGAUUCAAAAGCCUACCGCGAAAUAUUUAAAGCCUCCCCACGUCACCCCAACACUUUAAAUAUCGAACAUCGCUUAAUAAUGUAGAAGGAAAGAGGUCAGAGCGAAAAUGUGAACUGAAAAAUGACGGAAUGAUAAAAGGAUAAAGAAGAAGAAAACGUCGACUUCCACAGAUUCAUAAACCAACAAAGAAAGAGAGCUCCUCGAGGUCAGCCCCGCGAGAAAAAUUACGGCAUGGAAUAUAAAGGAGAGAGAGAGAGGAGACUAAAGGAGGAGCCGGAAGCCUAAGGAGGAGGAACUUGAGGAUAAGGAGGUUAGAGGGAGAGAAAAAGUAAGGUAAAGAGAGAUGAGGAGAAAAAGAGUAAUAAGAAGAAACGUAAUAGGAGGUUAAUAACAAAAACAGCAUGAUCAUAGAGGAAAGGCUGAAAGAGAAAGAAAGAGAAAUAAAGUAACGAUUAAAAGAAGGGAGAGAAAAAGAAAGGUAAAGGGAGAUGAGGAGAAAAAGAGUAAUAAGAAGAAACGUAAUAGGAGGUAAAUAACAAACACAGCAUGAUCAUAGACGAAAGGCUGAAAGAGAAAGGAGAAAUAAAGUAACGAUUAAAAGAAGGGUAAGAAAAAGUAAGGUAAAGGGAGAUGAGGAGAAAAAGAGUAAUAAGAAGAAACAUAAUAGGAGGUUAAUAACAAACACAGCAUGAUCAUAGACGAAAGGCUGAAAGAGAAAUAAAGAUAAAUAAAGUAACGAUUAAAAGAAGGGUAAGAAAAAGUAUGGUAAAGGGAGAGGAGAAAAAGAGUAAUAAGAAGAAAGAAGAAACAUAACAGGAGGUAAAUAUAAAAAAACACUGCAUGAUCAUAGAGAAAAGGCUGAAAGAGAAAGAAAGAGAAAUAAAGUAACGAUGAAGAGGAUCGGAAAAAUGAAAAGAUAGAGAAGAGAGUGAGGAGAAAUGUAUUAGGAAGUAAAUAACGAAUACUGUAUUAUCAUAGAGAAGAUAAAGAAGCAUAAAGUAUAUAGAGUAUUAAGUGGAGUAGGUAUAAAGGACAGGCUGAAACAAAAAUAAAUAAAAACAAUACAAAGAAAAGUUGAUGAAGUGUUGGGGAAAUAAAAAGACAAGUAGAAAAGAAAAACCAUGAAGAGAAAAACCAUUGAGACUGUUGAAUAGAAAAGAGAGAUGAGUAUAUGUGAAGAAGAGACUUAAAUAACACCAAAAAGAAAAAAAAAGAUUGUCAGGGAGAAAAGAAAGAAAAUGCAUGAAGAGAAAAAGGAUUGAGAUUGGUGACUAGUGAAGAGAGAUGAGGAUACAUGAAGGAGAGACUGAAACAACACAAAAAAGAAAAAAAAUAAUCAGGGGAAAAAAUAAUAAAAAAAGAAAAGAAGAAAAAUCAUGAAAAAUAAAAGCAUUGAGACUGUUGAAGAGAGAAGAGAGAUGAGGAUACAUGAAGGAGAGACUGAAAUAACACCAAAAAGAAAAGAAAAAAAGAUGAAGUCAGGGGAAAUAAAAAAAUAAAUAAAAAAUAAAUAAAAAGUAUGAAAAAUAAAAGCAUUGAGACUGUUGAAGAGAGAAGAGAGAUGAGGAUACAUGAAGGAGAGACAAACAAUACAAAAAAGAAAAAAAAGAUGGUCAGGGGAAAUAAAAAAAAUAUAGGUAGGAAAGAAAACGGAGUAAGAAGAAAAAAAAAAAAACAUGAAGAUUGCCACUUCAGCACAGGUUAAUUAAUGUCACUUGAACGAAGAUAUUAAAGAAAAGGUGAAGAAAAAAAAGAAACAAGACAGAAACAGAGAAACGAGGAAAAGAAGAAAUAAUUACGAGAAUAAAUAAGAGAAGAAGGAAACGAGGAAAAAAAAGAAGGAUGAGAAAGAACCACAAAAAAAAAAGAGUAGAUAGAUAACGACCAAUCAGUAACAAAAAAAGAAGAAACAAUAAUAAUAACAAUAAUGAAAAAGAAAAAUGGUGGAAGACAAGGAAAUAGAAGAAAAAGAGACACAAAAAGACAAACAAACAAGUAAGAAAACAAAAACACAGGUGAACAACAUCGAAAGAAGGAGAGAGAGAGAGAGAGAGAGAGAGAGAGAGAGAGAGAGAGAGAGAGAGGAACAAGAAAAAAAACAAGAGUGAAAAAAAUGGAGGAGAAACAGGUCAGGAGGGCAGGUGGAGUUGAUCCUGAGGGGAAGAGAAGGGGAGAUGAAAGCCAUAACUGAAGUGGAAAUGAGAGUGUGAGACGCGGAGAGGAACGAACAA